rnacentral:lncRNA from 1 species
UUGAACUCCUGACCUCAGGUGAUCCACCUGCCUUGGCCUCCCAAAGUGCUGGGAUUACAGGCAUGAGCCAUGAUGCCCGGCCCAUUCUCAUUGUUUUAACAAAUGCCAAGAGACCCAGAGCUGAGGCUAGGAGGGCCCAGCUACCCUAGCUGCAGCGCCACGCCUUGUUCUACUAGGCUUACUUUCUCCGAUGCCCUCAAGGGGUCUUUCUGGGGGAGCCCCUUGGCCCCUGUUGUCCAGUCAUGCCUGAAUCCCCUCACAAAGGCCUGAAUUUAAGUACUGGAGAGGAGAAGAACAAGGAUGAUUCCAAAUGCUUGUUUUCCUUGGGGAAACAAAUGGGAGACUCAAAGAGAUGCCUGGCACUCCAGGCUGCUAUACAGUGCGGAAGUGCUGCCCAGGUGGAGAAUCUGAUGCCAGUGGAGUUGGCAGGUGUAUGAGUUUGCGAGGGCUGCUGCCGUAACAGAUUACCACAAACUGGGUGGCUCAAAACAACAGAAACGUCUCCUUUCAUGGUUCUGGAGGCCGGAUGUCUAAAAGCAGAGUGUCAGCAGGACCUCAUUCCCCACUAAGGCUCGAGGGGCGGCUCCAUUCCAUGUUUCUUUUGGCUCCUGGUGGUUGCCAGCUUCCUUGACUUGUGGCCACAUCACUCCAGUCUGCCUCAUCUUUGCCACACCUUCUCCUCUGUGUGUCUCUUAUAAGGACCUGUGUCAUUGGAUCAGGACCUACGUUGAUAAUCCAGGAUGAUCUCUUCAUCUCAAAAUUGACAGGGUCUUGCUCUGUUGCCCAGGCUGGAAUGCAGUGGCACAAUCAUGGCUCACUGCAGCCUCAACCUUCCAGGGCUUAAGUGAUCCUCUCACCUCAUCCUCCUGAGUAGCUGGACUAUAGGCGUGCACCACCACACCCAGAGAUGCACCAAGACGCUACCAAAUGCAAAUUAAUAAGACCAAUCCUGGCUGGGUGCAAUGGCUCACUCCUGUAAUCUCAGCACUUUGGGAGGCCGAGGCAGGUGGAUCACAGAAGGUCGGGAGUUUGAGACCACCCUGACCAACAUGAAGAAACCCCGUCUCUACUAAAAAUACAAAAUUAGCCGGGCAUGGUGGUGCAUGCCUGUAAUCCCAGAUACUCAGGAGGCUGAGGCAGGAGAAUCGCUUGAACCUGGGAGGUGAAGUUUGCGGUGAGCCGAGAUCGCGCCAUUGCACUCCAGCCUGGUCAACAAGAGUGAAACUCUGUCUCAAAAAAAUAAGAAUAAGACACAAUCCUUGCCCUCAAGAUUCAUACAGUCUGAAGGUAAAGAGGGGACAUAAAUGAAAGAAGUGAUUACAAAACAGUGUGAUUGGUUCUGAAAAGGCAGUGAGUAAACAGUCCUGUUGCAUAAAUAACAGGACAGGCUAGUGUUGCUGUAACCAUGCCACAAUCUUAGUGGCUGAAAACAACAAAGGUUUACUUUUCACCCCUGCUGCAAGUCCAUUGAGGGUUGGCUGGGGGCUCUGCUCUGGCUCAUUUCUUGUCCUCCCUCUGAGACCUAAGCUGUGGGAGCAGCUACCCCUUUGCUUGUUGUCAUGGCAGAAGGAAGGAAAGUUCUGGAAGACUCACGCUGGCCAUUAAAUGCUCUCUUUUGGAAGGUUCCUAACUAUCCACAUGGCUCCAAUUAACCAUAGGGGCAGGAAGUACCAUCCUCUCAUGGCCUCCAAAUGAUGAGAGCUAGAAGUACUUCACAAACAUUGUUAGUGGCCUGAUAGAGUCUUAGAAGCCUUCACAAAGCAGACGAUCUUUGAGCUGUGUCUGGAAGUAAGACUGUGUCUUUCAGGCUGACAAGAGGGGGAAAGCCGAGGGAGAAAGUGUUUAUCUGCACCACUCAGGGCUCAUUCGCUUGAGUCUUACACGGCUUUUGUGGUCGGAGAUGUUCUUGCAGAUUGAAAUGAAAACUGCUUCAUAAGCACAAAUAAUGUUUUCAAUGAUGUCAGCUGUUCUUCAUGCUUUGGGGGUGAUUGAGAGAGGCAAGUAGGUUUGAACGAGAAGCUAGGGGUGCAGAUAUGCAGGAAAAUAUAUCAGAGAAAUAUAAACAUAAGCGUUAAGGGCAUCUGUUUAGACUGUUUCUCAAGUUUCUUAGUCCUGGAACAGCCAAUUCCAUGGAGCAUGCCACCAGGAGUUGCAACUUAUAGCCUAGGUGGCUCUUGGGAGGUGAACGUCUUUGUGGCUAUGUGAGCAGCAUGGAAUUGUCUACGCCUUUUGAUUGGAAUGCACUCCCCCUUGGUGAAAGGGAAUCUAUGUCUUUUUUCUACAUGCAGUUAUAUAACACUUAGAAUCACCAUUCUUUCCCAUAAGGCUUGUACAUAAGCCCUACCUUUUGUCCCUAAGGAAGGAGUUGGUGAAAGUCGGCCUGUGAGUAACAUUGGAAUUAGGCAGUAGAAUUUGAAGAAAUGGUAGCAACAGACAGCCCUCUGCUCCCUUAAGGCUUUCUUUGCCUGAUUAUUGAUUUUGUAGUAGAUCAAGGGGGAUGCCAUGCAGAGAAAGACCAUCAAUCCUGGGUUUUAGGUUCAGGGUCAGUUACCAGCCUCAGGAUCCCGGUCAGUUCCGUGCUCUGUAAAACCGAUACCUGCUUUACCUACCUUCCAAGGUUAUUUUGAAAAGGAAGUAAGAUUAUGCAUGUAAUAAAUAUCUUAUGAAAGUACCUUGAAGCGUUCAAUUAUUUCACAAAUGCAUGGUGGUGGUGUUAUUAGUAUUUAUUAAACUGAUAUUGUGAAAAAUUG